UAAUGUUAUUCAUGGCCCUGUUGGAAUUGUAUUAAUGAGGUAGAGUUGGCUAGUUUCCAUUAAGACUUUCUACCAGAUUUAUAUUUAUUAUGUGAUGUUGUUCCAAAUGGUCCUUCUUGCUUGGAGAAAAGGAUGAUAACUCCAGGAAAGAUCGCUAAUGAUGAUUGUUUAUGGAAAGAUGCCUGUCCAAUUAUUUUUUGAAGAAACACAAGAAUGCAGGAUGACUGGAAGCAUCAGGUUUUUGCCAGAGAAUGCCUCAGCCGCUAUCUUGGAAUAAAAAGAAAUGAUUGAAAACUGUUAUUAUGCAAGAUUAUUCUAAGAAAGCAAGCUGUGACCUGAUUCCCAAAGCAUAUCACAUAAAACAAAAAGAAUACAUAGCUCAAAGAUUAACCAUCAAUAAAAGGAAAACAA